AUGCUUAUCCAUUUAACCGGAGUGUUGUGUUCUCAUUCAAGUUCUUUCAUCUUAUCAAGUUUUGCCUCUCGUUUCAACCAGAGUGGUUCCAAUUCCUUCUUGUCCAUUGUACUCGUCAUUCAUAGCUUUGCAACCUCCAAGGUUCACAUGGUGUUCCUUGUUUCUAUUUUCUACCGCAGUGCUCUCGAUUGUGUUCAACUCCAUUGUGUUCUUUCUUUCAACUUUUCAACCUCUCAAGGUUCUUUGGUUUCACUCAUUGGUCGAAGAAGCAACUUAGUUUUACCUCUUCUCUUCAUCUUCCAUUUCUCUCCGGUGCCAUCCUAG
rnacentral:rRNA from 1 species